GACGAACCGAGCGAACGUUAUUUGGAAUCACUGGGCUUAAAGGGCGCGUAGGCGGGCCGUCAAGUCGAGGGUGAAAGCCCCCAGCUCAACUGGGGAAGUGCCUUUGAUACUGGCGGUCUCGAGGGGGAUAGGGGCGUGCGGAACUUCCGGUGGAGCGGUGAAAUGCGUAGAUAUCGGAAGGAACACCGGUGGCGAAAGCGGCGCGCUGGAUCCCUUCUGACGCUGAGGCGCGAAAGCCAGGGGAGCGAACGGG
rnacentral:rRNA from 1 species